CUGUGAUUAGGCUAGCGGGAAUGUAAGGGCCACUUCAGCAACAGAAAGGAGUGGUGGAGCGGCUUCUCAUCAGAAAAACAGAACUUUCAGUGCCUGACUUGAGAUGUAAACUUGAUGUACAAACGGAGAGUUGUUUAUCUUUCAGAUGUUUCACAGAAUCCAGUGUCCCCGGGUUGGAUAAGAAAGAUAUGGGAAAAAUUAUUUUAGUUUUGGAAAGAUCCUCUUCAGAAAUACCACUAUCUUCCUGAAGUUUGAUGGAGAACCUUGUGACCUGUCUUUGAAUAUAACCUGGUAUCUGAAAAGCGCUGAUUGUUACAAUGAAAUCUAUAACUUCAAGGCAGAAGAAGUAGAGUUGUAUUUGGAAAAACUUAAGGAAAAAAGAGGCUUGUCUGGGAAAUAUCAAACAUCAUCAAAAUUGUUCCAGAACUGCAGUGAACUCUUUAAAACACAGACCUUUUCUGGAGAUUUUAUGCAUCGACUGCCUCUUUUAGGAGAAAAACAGGAGGCUAAGGAGAAUGGAACAAACCUUACCUUUAUUGGAGACAAAACCAUUCAGAUGCCUUUCUUGAAGAAACAUUUCUUGGAUUGUUGAAAGACUUUAAUAAUUUCCAAAGUUCCAAAAGUUGAUUUUGAUAGUUUUUGCCAGUGUUUUCGUUGCUUUUAUGGAUGAGUAGAUUUUCAGAGUUUCUUAUUCUGCCAUUCUGAAAGUGUUCUCACUACCUAAACCCCAGUUUUAUUUGUACAGAAUUU
rnacentral:lncRNA from 10 species